UACGGGGGAUGCAAGCGUUAUCCGGAUUUAUUGGGUUUAAAGGGUGCGUAGGCUGUGAGGUAAGUCAGCGGUGAAAUGCCCCCGCUCAACGGGGUGAAGUGCCAUUGAUACUGCCUUGCUGGAAUGCGGAUGCCGUGGGAGGAAUGUGUGGUGUAGCGGUGAAAUGCAUAGAUAUCACACAGAACACCGAUUGCGAAGGCAUCUCACGAAUCCGCGAUUGACGCUGAUGCACGAAAGCGUGGGUAUCAAACGGG
rnacentral:rRNA from 1 species